GAAAUCAGGGAAACACUACAGCAUCUGGCACUCAGACCCAGGGCUCCAAUAUAAAAGAUGGCACUUCAAUCCCUAAUGGUCAAGAUGUCAGGUCCCCCUCUGGUUGAACACCAUGACUCUCUUCAUUUCAUUUUCAGAUGAUCAUCAAGUGCCGGUCUUGAUAAAAAGAAUAAGGGAAGCAAAAUAUUAUAGCGCAGUUCUAUCAUAAUUAUAUAGCUAGCAAGAAUAAGAAUACGAUGAAGAAUAUUAUUCAACUUUUUCUUUUUUGGUUUUGUUUUGCGUCUAGAAAUGAUUUGUUGUUCUUGUUGCUUCCCAUAAAUAAUAUACAAAGUCAAGUGUCUGAGUAGUU